CCUACGGGUGGCAGCAGUGGGGAAUAUUGCACAAUGGGGGAAACCCUGAUGCAGCGACGCCGCGUGAGUGAAGAAGUAUUUCGGUAUGUAAAGCUCUAUCAGCAGGAACGAGACAAGACGGUACCUGACUAAGAAGCCCCGGCUAACUACGUGCCAGCAGCCGCGGUAAUACGUAGGGGGCAAGCGUUAUCCGGAAUCACUGGGUGUAAAGGGAGCGUAGACGGCUGUGCAAGCCUGAAGUGAAAGGCGGGGGUCCAACCCCUGGACUGCUUUGGGAACUGUACGGCUGGAGUGCAGGAGAGGUAAGUGGAAUUCCUAGUGUAGCGGUGAAAUGCGUAGAUAUUAGGAGGAACACCAGUGGCGAAGGCGGCUUACUGGACUGUAACUGACGUUGAGGCUCGAAAGCGUGGGGAGCAAACAGGAUUAGAUACCCCAGUAGUC
rnacentral:rRNA from 1 species